GAUGAACGCUAGCUACAGGCUUAACACAUGCAAGUCGAGGGGCAGCGGUAUCGAAAGCUUGCUUUCGGUAGCCGGCGACCGGCGCACGGGUGAGUAACGCGUAUCGAACCUGCCUCAUACUCGGGAAUAGCCUUGCGAAAGUAAGAUUAAUGCCCGGUGUUUUCAGAGUCCCGCAUGAGGCUUUGAACAAAGAUUUAUCGGUAUGAGAUGGCGAUGCGUCCCAUUAGCUUGUUGGCGGGGUAACGGCCCACCAAGGCAUCGAUGGGUAGGGGUUCUGAGAGGAAGGUCCCCCACAUUGGAACUGAGACACGGUCCAAACUCCUACGGGAGGCAGCAGUGAGGAAUAUUGGUCAAUGGGCGGAAGCCUGAACCAGCCAAGUAGCGUGCAGGAAGACGGCCCUCCGGGUUGUAAACUGCUUUUAGUUGGGAAUAAAACGGGGCUCGUGAGCCCCAUUGCAGGUACCAUCAGAAAAAGGACCGGCUAAUUCCGUG
rnacentral:rRNA from 1 species